GUCGAGCGCACCUUCGGGUGAGCGGCGGACGGGUUAGUAACGCGUGGGAACAUACCCUUUGGUACGGAAUAGCCUCUGGAAACGGAGAGUAAUACCGUAUGAGCCCUUCGGGGGAAAGAUUUAUCGCCAAAGGAUUGGCCCGCGUUAGAUUAGGUAGUUGGUGGGGUAAUGGCCUACCAAGCCUACGAUCUAUAGCUGGUUUUAGAGGAUGAUCAGCAACACUGGGACUGAGACACGGCCCAGACUCCUACGGGAGGCAGCAGUGGGGAAUCUUGGACAAUGGGGGCAACCCUGAUCCAGCCAUGCCGCGUGAGUGAUGAAGGCCUUAGGGUCGUAAAGCUCUUUCGCCUGUGAAGAUAAUGACGGUAGCAGGUAAAGAAACCCCGGCUAACUCCGUGCCAGCAGCCGCGGUAAUACGGAGGGGGUUAGCGUUGUUCGGAAUUACUGGGCGUAAAGCGCACGUAGGCGGACUGGAAAGUUGGGGGUGAAAUCCCAGGGCUCAACCCUGGAACUGCCUCCAAAACUAUCAGUCUAGAGUUCGAGAGAGGUGAGUGGAAUUCCGAGUGUAGAGGUGAAAUUCGUAGAUAUUCGGAGGAACACCAGUGGCGAAGGCGGCUCACUGGCUCGAUACUGACGCUGAGGUGCGAAAGUGUGGGGAGCAAACAGGAUUAGAUACCCUGGUAGUCCACACCGUAAACGAUGAAUGCCAGUCGUCGGGUAGCAUGCUAUUCGGUGACACACCUAACGGAUAAGCAUCCGCC
rnacentral:rRNA from 1 species